UGUCGUCCCUUCCCAAAAACUCGUUGGUCAUCUAUGGAGGUCCAUCAGUGACGGUAAUCACAACCUCUAUGAAGUUUUAAGCUUGAAUUCAUCGUUUAUCUUUUAAUUUCUUCUUUCAAUUUCAAUAUUUAUUCAUCUAAUUAAUGUUAUCGAAAUCUAAGGUUUUUCAGAUGAACCUAAUUGGGGAAAAACCGAAGACAAGAUGGGGAUAGAAAUUCAAUAUGUAAUCCACUUACCUCAUUUUAUGGGUUUCAUGAUGCAGUUAAUAAUAAUGCACAUUUCUUUGUUUAAUGUAAAUGAUUUCCAAUGCUAACAAACCCAUCAUCCUUUUUCCCCUACGCCAACUCUUUUCUUCGCGUUUUCUCUAUCCUCAAUUGUUCUGCAGAAGACGCCAUUUUUUCUGUUGCUUCGUCUCUCUCCUUCUUUCAGAUAAUCAUUCAUUAAUUUUAAUAUUUACAAUUUUAAUAGCUGCAAUCACUUCAAUUUCGUUAAUUUUUUGGCUACAUUUUCUGAAUUAAAGUGUGCAAUUUGGUUUCAUUUUCUAGUAUAUUAUGUGGAAUCAACUGUUGAUCUCUAUCCCAAUAUUCCAUCUCUUCAAAUCAUAGUUUUUUUUCAAAAUUUCAUGAAUAUUUAUAUUGAAAUAUGGGGGUAUAUGCUAAAUCACAUUAAUCAAACGGGUAUUAUGCGUCUCGAUUUGAUGCUUUAUCACCUUGGAGAAUUGAUCCCCUUUUUAAGUCUGCUAUAAUUUUAGGAAAAUUUGCAUCUUUUUAAACUAUGAUUUCAAUUUUAUUUUAUAGAAAUCGGCAUUUGAUGAAUUCAUAUUUUCUACGGAUAGUUUUGCGUCUGAAUUUUAAUUGAUUAUGAUGCUUACAAAAUUUAAUAUCCUAAAAAGGUUGAAUAUUUUUUCAUAGGAUUUGAAGGGUUUAUUGUUGCAUACUCCAAUUUUAAUUGAUUCAGAUGCUUACAAAAUUUAAUAUCCUAAAAAAGUUGAUUAUUUUUUCGUAGGAUUUAAAGGGUCUAAGACGGCAAUUGCAAGAUUGUUAGGUGAUUGAAGUUGCAUAUGUAUGUUAUAAGUACUAACGCAUUGGAAAUUAUAAUGAAAGAUGCCCAAUAUCCUAGUUGAAACCUGUAACUAAUGCCCUCAACAGUCUAAUGGACGUACUCGGGUCAUGGAAAAAGUAUUCUCAUGCUUCAGAAACAAAGCUUUUUCAUGGGUGAUGCCUCCACCAAAUGAAGAUUUUUAUCCAGAACAUUCUUAUAAUGGUACGUAUGUGUUGCACAUCGAUUGCGGAAGAGUGCAUGUGGUAAAGAAAGUAUAUUUCGAGCAAGAGAAGAAAGUGAUACACACUAUUUUAUAUGUUUCAUUUAAUUACUUCGGUACUGUGAGGGAGUUGGAAAAAGACGGGUUUAUGGCCUCUUUCGUUCUUCCCUCGCGGAUGUGUGGUAAGCAAUAUUAAGUAAAACGGGACUAAUUGUGGGCGUUGGCUUCUUUUUACUAGUCUUAGGAGUCGCCAUUCAGUUUUCAAUGAGGAAAACUGACAAAACCCAAUUAUUGUGAUACGGAAGUAAAAGCUUGAGAGCCCAGGCUAACGUAUUUGACCACAACGGCCGUAGGUUCCCUUGUGAUCCCUGGUGGGGAGAUCGUUCAAUAUACAUCCAGCGGAGUAGAGAUUGAGGGUUAGGGGGAAAUUUACUAAUACGGGGAGUGCUUAGUAUUAGACCAUGAAGCAGUCCUUACUAGUUCAACGUCACGAAGACGGAACAUACGUUAUACUAUAUUACUAAUCUGAAUUGCUUUUAAUGAACAAAUAUUAACUAACAAUCGUCAAGAGGAUGAUUUAGAUUGAUUUAAGGUACUUAACAAUAAUCCGGAUUUUCCAAAGAAUAUCUUAUUAGGCUUUAUAAAUAAUCAGAUUAUGUUUGACAGAUUUAUAAUCGUGAUUAAAGAAAUAAAAAAAUUAUGGCACGUUACAAUAUAGUUUUGGCUAUAUUGCAGUUCUUAGAAAACUAACCACUUUACUCUACUCGCUUUCCUUUUUAUGCAACGUACUUUCCUCGGCUUUACUAAACUCCAGGGCAGGAUCCAGGCUUAGUUUAAGUGCUUAGACGAGCAGGGUUCCGCUUAACAAGAGUUAAUACGAUGAAACUACGGAAUAUACGGAGUGUACGGGACGAUUAUAAGAACGUAUGGAGAACUUAGGUUCAGGAUUAUAACUUGGGGAUAGUAUGAGAUUAUAAUUCGGUGCCCUUUACUCGGACGAUUAAGGCCCUAUUUAUAAAAAAAUAAGUGCCGGAGAAGAUAAAAAUAUUCAGAGUUUGAUAAGCGCUGAAAAUCAUUGGUGCGCGAGAUAAUUCUCGCACAUAGGACAGGUCUGCGAAACAUUUCUAGCGCAAAGUUUCGUGCUCAAGAGUUGUUUCAGAGUUUGUUUUUGAGUAGGAAUGUAGCGAGUACGUGAGAUAAUACUUGCGCGUGGAUAAUGGUGAGAGUGAUUAGCUGCGCUGGGCCCUGUGCGCAAGAAAUUUCUUGAGCACAAUCUAUUUCCACGCAUUUUUACCUGAAUUAAUCCAGUUUAAUCCGAUUUUCUUCCGGCUUAGAACUCUUUUUACGCCUUUAAUCCUUA